UAGUGUUCACUGGCUGUGCGCCUUCACGGGCUGCACGCCAGCACGCUUUUCCACACCUGUGCAUCUUUCGGCUUGGGAGCAAUCCCUCGCUGCUUUACAUUUAACAUCGUGUCAGUCUAGUAUGUAAAAAUUAUAAUUUGAAA
rnacentral:misc_RNA from 1 species